CGUGGGAGCAGCAACGACAUGUCCAAGCAUGGACUCACUGACGGAGGAGAGAAGCCAGCUGAGUAGAAACUGAUCUUUGCGGUGCCAAAGAGCAUACUCUGGAUUAGGAGCUCCAGAGGAAGACGAAAGAGAGCGCGAUGGAGAAGUAGCAGUAGAGGAGAUCAGGUUGUCGAGACCAUGAGCAUAGAUGGUGGCGAUAGCUUGAGCUCGCCAGAAAACAUAGUUCGUGCGAUCUAGCUUGAUGAUUGUAGGUAGAUGUGGUAGAUUUGCAGCAGAAUUGCGAUUUUCCAUGGUGAGUGAGAGAAAAAUCGG
rnacentral:lncRNA from 1 species